rnacentral:rRNA from 1 species
UGAGGAAUCUUCCGCAAUGGGCGAAAGCCUGACGGAGCGACACCGCGUGGAGGACGAAGGCCUUUUGGUUGUAAACUCCCUUUCUGGGGGAAUAAAUGAUGAAUGUACCCCAGGAAUAAGCACCGGCUAACUACGUGCCAGCAGCCGCGGUAAUACGUAGGGUGCAAGCGUUAUCCGGAAUUAUUGGGCGUAAAGAGUUCGUAGGUGGUACACCAAGUUUGUAGUUAAAUACGGUCGCUCAACGAUCGAAGCGCUACGAAAACUAGUGAACUAGAGAGUGGCAGAGGUAACUGGAAUUCCACAUGUAGGGGUAAAAUCCGUUGAUAUGUGGAGGAACACCAAAAGCGAAGGCAGGUUACUGGGCCAUUUCUGACACUGAGGAACGAAAGCGUGGGGAGCAAACAGG